GUUUACGGCCACACAGCCUGGUUCACGCCCGAUCUCGUUUGAUCUCAGAAGCUAAGAUAGGUUGGGCCUGUUUAGUACUUGGAUGGGAGACCGCCUGGGAAUACCAGGUGCUGUAAGCU
rnacentral:rRNA from 1 species